UUUCUUAUUUAUUUUAAUUUCUUUUAUUAAUUAUUAUUAGUUCUUAUUUACUUUUAUUUAUAGAAUUCAGAUUUUUCCUUCAGUAGAGAAGAAUUGAGCUCGAUUUAGAUAGUUUGAUUUUGCCAACUAAACCGGUUGGUAGGUUAUGCGUAAGUAUUCAUAACCUACACAACUUAUAUCAAUAAAUAGACGUAUAGUGGGGAUAGUAAUUCCCUAUUUUGCUUGUAGUUCACGUUUCGUCCAUAUCUGUCGUUGAGGUCGCAUACGUUACGAACAAAAAGUAAUGAGCUUAUGAGAGAGGUUACUUUGAAAAGUUUAACUUUUUCCUGUAUUCUGAUUGGUUCUUAAAUUCGCGCCUAUACGAAUCAUUUUCUAUGCCAAUCAUAUAGAUGACUGCGCAGUAUCGUUUCUUCCUUCGUUACGAUUAGUCUUUCGCGAGCGUUGAUAAGAAUUAAUAAUUAAUUAUCUUAUGUUAAUAAAUUCUAUCGCGAUUAAUAUAAGUAUUUUAAUGUUCUGUUAUCCUAAUUAAAUAAGAGUUAAUCGUUUGUGUAAUUGUGAUUAUUACGUAUAUACGAAUAAAUUGUGUAAAAGUGUGUCCUGAAUAUGCAGCCGGUAACUUGUUGAAGUUAUUUACGAAGGUUAUCUACAAGAAACGUGUACUAUUAUAUCGUUUAUUUCUAUAUUUAGCAUUACCUUUUUAUUGAAUUAUUAGUGACUACGAGCAAGGUAGUGAGUAAUUAAUUAAAUACGUAAGUUAUUAAAAUCAGUGAUGUAAAGUGAGUGUUCGGUGAUUUAGUGCAGUCAAGAUUCUUUGAUAUAGAAUUAUAUGUAUAUUUACGAGUUACUAGAUUCAGUGUAUAUAAGUGUUAAUCAACGAAGUAAAGUCUGGCAUUUCAACAUAUCUUGAUGUCAACAUAAUACAAUUGCAAUCUACCUUUCUACUUCAAGUGGGGAUAUAUUGGAGCCAUCGCAGAACUUCAUAAGUAUGUUCGCAUUCCGUUUCGGGGGAGUUUUCCGAGCGUGUGGCAGCUCUAUUACAGUCAUCUUCGACGCAAGACGACUGCUAGUUCUCAUAGGGAACUAUCCAAGGCCAUCAUCCCUCUUCCAAACACGAAACCAUUCGAACGGAGGGAUAAGUUUUCAAGAGAAAACUCAACGAAACACAAACACAUCGCAUAAUCAUAAGACGUAUUAUACUAAUUAUUCUUGUCAAAUUAAUUCGCAAACAAUUAACGCGUUUAUAGGAUAUCGCGUGUAUGUAUCAUUUAAAAUGAACACUUUCGUUUCUCGUAUCGUUUCGUGCGAAAAAAACGAUAAGAGAAAGAACAAUCGUCCGAUUAUUUUCGCACGUUGACUCGCAUCAUCGAACAUUGAUACACUCGAUUUACUAUGUCCACAGAAAUAGCAAACCGAUUUCCUCGAGUUUACGUCGAAGUUACUAGCGUUACCGCGCAUAAGCCAUAAAUGAUAACACGGAGAAUCGUUAUUAUUAGAAUUCGAUAUCAAUGAUAGUUUGCAUUGAAUCGAUAAAAAAAGAAAGAAAGAAAAAAAGAAAGGAAGAAAGGAAGGAAGGAAGGAAGGAAGAAAAACGUAAAAGAAAAAAAUAUAUAUAUCGAAAGCCGAUUGUGGAGUUUAAGACAGGGAACAAAUUCUUGUAAGGGACGUUGCGUUAACUGAAUACAAGUUGGAUUGUGAAAAGAAUGAAAAGAACGAUUUUGUAACGAAUGAUAUUAUUCUAUUAAAAAAAAAAAGAGAGAGAGAAAAUAUGAUAUCGGUAUCGAUCGUUUAUUCAAGACUGAUAGGAGGUUACAUAAACUGCGUCAGUCAAUUUAUAAAACUAUUCUGUUACUAUUUGCGAUGUAUCUAUAAUUAAAUUAAAAAAAAAAAAAAAAAAAAAGGUAAAAAAAGAGAGAAAAAAAUUAUAAAAAAAAAGAGAGAGAAAAAGAAAAACAAGGACGACAUGAGAUAGAGAUAACAAUCGUUAAGAACGUAAUAAACCUUACGUGUUUGUCUAAUAUAAAAGAGAGUGUCACUUGGAAACUAUCUUUCUAAGCGUUAAAUUAUUAAGAGAGAAGCAGCGUGACACGUCGUAGAAAUAAGCGAAAGCGAUCACAGCAAUUCAGGUUGCUCAUUCGUCAUAAUUAAUCACAGGGCAGUCAGCCGGUGUCGCUUUAUUGGCUAAGUUACAUGCCGCGCUUACAUCGUAAUGGCACCUUUGAAUCUUCGUUUUAGUGAAAUUGCUUUCGCUUUAGUUGGACGUAAGCGAACCGAGAGUACUUAGGCUUAUAUUUUGUCAUAAUUUUGGCAUCAACGGCUAGGAGAAAUAAAAAGUGAUCGAUUUCUCGCGUGCGAGGGGGAAAAAAGAAGAAGAGAGAAAAAAAAGAGAGAUUGACUGACGAACAUGUAUACUUGCUUACGUAAAUACUUAAGACCAUUCUCGUAACGUUAUUUUUUCUGGAGGAAAAAUAGAGAAAGAAAGAAACGGAAAAAUAAAAGAAGGGAAGAGAAAAGAAAACAAAAAAGAAAACAAAAGGACACAUCGUCGGCACAAAGAUUCGUUCGUCUAAUCGUCAAAAAGAAUAUUGAAGUAGAUAUUGAUAAGGGAGAGAAGGAAUGUAUAGAUGAAAUUACGUUCGUCCUUGUUCCAUCAUUCUUUUCUCGUAAAAUAGAGUAUCGUCGGAAUAUCUUUGAAAUCGAACUCGACUAGACAAUGAUCGUUUCGCUCGUGAUCAAUGGAUGGCACUUGAGUCUGAAGGAGGCGCUAGAGUAGUAUCUAAAAAGGUGGCCCGAAAAGAGAAAUUGCGAAAUUCUCUUGUCAUUUCGAGGGCCGCCAUUGUUGCAGGCCACAGCUCCGGAAGACUGGUGUAUUGUUUCACGAUGGAAAGUAGCGAGCCACCCACCAUCUUGGUAUGAAACGAAACACACGGUACUCCCUCGGAAGACAAAUGAACGUUCUUCCAUAGCCUCUGAAGAACCUCCUUACCCCUCCGUCCAUCCUCGCACGCGUACACGCGCGCGCACUCUAGAAACUCUUGGCCGUUCUUCGAUAUCACUACUUUCUCUACCAUUACCACUACCAACCAACUACCCUCAACCCAACCACCACUAGCUUUACUACCACCAUGAAACCCCUACCGAAGCACCACUACCAAACUUACUCGACCAUUUUAUCCGUCGAUCAGAAAGUUUCGUGGAAUUAAUUAGUGGCACGUUAACCUUCUUCUCGACUCACACCGUACUUUCCUAACCGAGUCCUUACGAAGAAUCGCUUCGUUUCUUUUACUUCUCUCUUUCGUUUUCCCUUAUCUUCUCCCAUUCCCAUCCUCCUUUCCUUCGUAUUAUUCGCGAAAGAUCACGAUGCCAAACGUACGAAUACUAAUACACCUCUGAUGGUGUCAUCGAAACGAUUACGUUAACGAAAAUAUUACCGUCUCUCGCGAAAAGAAAGUUUUAGAGAUAUCGCUUAAUAAAGAACGUUCGUUAAAUGUUCUAAUCGCGAGGGUUUCAAAACGAAUAUGAACUUAAAACGAAUAAAAUUACUUUAUAUAUAUAUAUAUCGAACUGUCAUUAAGUUACAAACCUCGGCUAGGAUUUCUAAGAACUUAUAAUGGUAAGAUUAUAUUAGACUUAGGAUUAAUUUGUUAAGACUAGCUUGUAGUCUAGCUCGUAAAACCCAGCUGUCCUUGGCUUGUUACGUUUCGUUCUUGUAUACAUACAUAUACAUAAUAUGUAUAUACUUACGCAUAUUGAUAUAUAUAAUAUAUAUAUAUUCGCUUGAAAAAAAAACUUCUUCUCCUCUUUCUUUUCUCGUUUAAAAAGGCAACCGAGCACAGCUGGGUUAAGGAUCAAAAGGAUCUGAUUAAAUUGCUUCUGCAAGAUGCGUUCACAGGUGUGACAUUGACUGUAACCGGUGUUUCGCGAAAACGCAUAUCGCAGAGAGUUGAACUUUUGUUUGAAGAGUUCGGAUUAAACCCAAGAGAAAUGUAUUGCGAGAGCGAAAUGGGAAUUUAUCGAUAGAUAACUAAGUAAGAGUACGAAUAAGGAUUAAUAGAUACAGGAGUUAGAAUAACGAUAUAUAGGAAGUUUCUUGAUCGUUUAAUUAGUAAAUAUGCGGUUUGAUCACAUAUGUAGAUAUACAUUUCGAGCUUUAUUCGUGAAUCAGAUAAUAUUAUCAAUGUCGAAUAUAAAAAAAAAAUGACUUAACCGAGAUAAUAUUGAAAUGGCAUACAUUUUUUUUUUCUUCUUCUUUUUUCUAUUUCUUUUGUCAAAUACGAUCAGGUUAAGCUCGACGCACAUACUCUUAUCGACUUACAAUUUUUGAUAUUUCUAUUGAAUAUACGAUUUUGAACGUAUCGAAUGUGCUAUCGAAAUUUUUUCCCUCGAAUAUGUGUCUAGGUAAUUGGCCAUCGAUAUGAAAGUGAACACGAAGUUUGUAUACAUAGUAUAAAUUAUUAUCUAGACGAUAAGAGGCAACGGGUGCAGAACGUGAAUUUACAUAGGAAGUCGAUACGUUUGAUAAGCGUAUAAAGUAUAUCUAUGUAAAUGCACGCUGAUUUGCCGGCAGUUAAAUGAACAAACUCAGAUGGAAAAGUAUUAAAAAUGAUAAAAUAUAAUUAUAUAUUAUAUACAUACAUUUUACGAUUAAGGUGUAAUUAUCCGUUGGUACAUAUCGCUCUUGUAAUCUAAAGGAAAUAUUAUAAGUUAUAAUAGAGAGGAUCCUUUCGCAAAAAAAGAAAAGAAAAAAGAAAAGAAGAAAUUUGAGAUUUUUUCCGACUUAAAAAAAUAUCAACAAAAACUAAAGAUGUAUGCACGCGAUACAUGGAACAAAAAAAAUAAUUAACUUAUUGUAUUAUUAUUAUUAUUAUUACUACUACUAUUAUUAUUAUUAUUAUUGUCGUUGUUAAUUGUUGUUGUUGGUGUUGUGAUUGUUAUUAUUAUUAUUAUUUUUAUUAUUAUUAUUAUUAUCAUUAUUAUUAUUAUUAGAUAUUAUUACUCAAAGUACUGCCAUAAUCGAUCUCUACGAAUACGACGAAGGAAAAUAUUUCCUAAUGCGCUUAGAUUAAACAUUAUUAAUAACAUUUCAAUUUUAUCUUCCCUAGAUUUGAUAUUUUUGACACAUAGAUCGCUAUACUUUGUUAUAAAUAAAAUAUUAGAUUUUCUUUUUUUCUCUCUCUCUCUUUUUUUUUGUUUUUUUUUUUCUUUUUUUAAUCUUCAGCACAAACUCCGUAAAAAAUUUAUGUUGAAUCUAUUCAAAUGACAUUUGUAAGAUGCGUGAUACAUAAAUUACCUAUUAUACGACGUAUCAUUAAAGUGACGAAUAUAAUUGGUCACUUUGCGAAUGCGGAACAAUGAUUCUGAAUGGUCCCACGGCACAACGAAAAUAAUAAAAAAAACAGAAGUUUUUCGUUUUUUACAAA